rnacentral:rRNA from 1 species
UACGUAGGGGGCAAGCGUUGUCCGGAAUCAUUGGGCGUAAAGCGCGUGUAGGCGGCUUGGUAAGUCCGCUCUGAAAGCCCGGGGCUCAACCCCGGGAGGCGGGUGGAUACUGUCAAGCUCGAGUCCGGAAGAGGCGAGUGGAAUUCCUGGUGUAGCGGUGAAAUGCGUAGAUAUCAGGAGGAACACCGGUGGCGAAGGCGCUCAUCUGGCCCAAUACUGACGCUGAUGCGCGAAAGCUAGGGGAGCAAACGGG